ensembl:lncRNA
GUUCUGACUCAGGCAAUAAACAUUUGGUAAGAAGCUAGCUAUAGUUCAGUUUGGAACAACACAGGCCAUGAAUGACCAAGGAGAUCCCUCACCACGACGGACUCGAGGUUUGUGCCAUCAGAUCCCUCACUACGGACCGUAUGCUGACGGACUUCCCUGGGCCUGCUACCUGAGACCUGCUGCUUCCUCCCAGACUUACUCUGCGGCUUCUUCCUGGACCCACCCGGUACCUGCACCCUCUCGUUGCCCAAGACCGGCCUCGCUGCUCCUGCCCUUCGGCCUCCGACCGUCGGAACGUCGUGCAACGGGACUACUGCCGGAUCCUGGUGGUGACUAUCCCCGCUUUACGCAAUUCUUGCUUCUUUCUAUCUUUUCCUAUCGCUCGCCUUCCCUUCCCCAUCACCCCAAUCCGUAAUAGUGUCCGUCCUCCCCUUUCUUCAUCUCCCUUAUUAACAUUUGUAAUAAACUGGUCCGACCAACAUUUGAACCGCUGUUUCUUAAUCUCACGCCGGGCAUGCAUAUUUCAAAGAACCUCCUCUCCCUCCUAUAAAUUGGAGCGAGACACCUGCAAUAACUGAAAAAAGAUUGUGAUGUUGCUUAUUUUUUUUGUUUGUUUCAUGAAGUGUACUGGAAAAUGAUCUCUGGGUAAUCGUUUUCAGCAGAGUAGGGUAUGCAUCUACAGAUCUUCCAUUAAAAAAGAAUAGUUUAUCUACAAAUUGGGAAAACAAAUGUCAUAAAGUUCCCUUAGAGAUGAAUAUGCUGCCACCUAUUUAAAAUGCAAAACUCUGCCAUUAAUAGGCGCCUUGUGAAUAUAUUGAAAGUAAUCUUCCAACUCAAAUGAUUCUAUGAUUGUAUGAGUCUAUGAUGAAUGUCUUUUUGGAUCUUUGAACUAGGUGUUUUGUAUAAUGAAUGCUAUUUUCGAUAUACUAAAAAGAGGAGUGUAGAAACUCAGAUUUGUAAAGUAGAAGGGAGACUUUCAUAUAAAAAUGUAGCUAGAGGACAGAAAGGAGACCAAAGUGAAUGAAUGAAUAAAUAAAUAUAUAUAUAUAAAUAUAAUACUUAUAAGAAAAUUCAAGACUUGCAGCUUUGAUGAAGAAUACAAACAGUGCAUUAAAAAAUAAUUGUAAAUUAAGUGAUACUAGAAUAUGAACACAAAAUAUUUCCUUUUCCUGUCCACUUCUAUGUAUAUACAAAAGGAGAAAAUAAAUAAAAGAGACAGAUUACAGAAAAUAUUGUCAGCAAAUGAUAAAAAUAAGAUAGGAAUUCAAGAAGAACAAAAUGACCUGUCUCUUCUGAUAUUCUUCCAAUGAAAAAUGUAAGGAUAGGAGUCCAAUGGCAUGUUAGCUAAAGAAGCAAAAUAAAGAUAACUAUACCACUGAAUGACUGACGGCCACUUGCAGGAUUAUUUCCACAGAAAAUUUUUGUCUGCGGAUAUUUUCUUCUACCAGUGAAUUUCCAGGAUCUAUAAGUGUAACGAACACUUACCCAUAUAGUAUUACUUCUUUCUUUAAAAUCUAGUUGUGCCAUAUCUAAGGGACAUGGAAGCUAGUAUCUACUUAUAUACAUAUAUUUUAUCAAUAGGGACAAUGGCUUAGCUGCAGAAAGUUUCACAGGGUAUGUAAUAGAAUAAAGUUAUCUUUGAUAUACAAAUAGAAAUAAACUCUUAUAACCUUAUGAAUAUUGAUUGCAUCCACAAAAUAUCUCAUUGAUCAAAUAAAGUUCAAGAGAUACAAAACAGUUAGAAAACAAAACAACAACAAAACCCAAAUAAAAUAAAAUAAAAAACAGGCAAUUUUUGAGAUUACCUUAAAAAGCUUCUUAUAGGCUUCUGUAAGGCUUCAUGCAUUGAGUAGGAAAGACAUUUCCAGUUUCUGGUUGCUGAUUUGUAUCCUAUGCCAAUUUUUAAUUAAUUAAACAUACCAGACAAUUCUACAUAAAUUAUCAUGUAUUAUUAGAUUAUGACUUACUAGGUCAAGGCUAUAUUUCAGUUUUAUCACCCUGUCUAGCUUGUUCAUUUCUUUUUCUGCAUAAUUUUAUAGCAUUGCAUAGAAAAGUCUUUGCAGUUAGAACAAGUUUGUUAAUAGGAA